rnacentral:rRNA from 1 species
UGCGAGUCGAGAGGUGCAAGACCUCGGCAUACUGCUCAGUAACACGUGGACAAUCUAACCUAAGGUGGGGGAUAACCCCGGGAAACUGGGGAUAAUACCCCAUAGACUAUGGAAGCUGGAAUGCUCUGUAGUUCAAAGGUUCACCGCCUUAGGAUGGGUCUGCGGCCGAUUAGGUUGUUGUUGGGGUAACGGCCCAACAAGCCUGUAAUCGGUACGGGUUGUGGGAGCAAGAGCCCGGAGAUGGAUUCUGAGACACGAAUCCAGGCCCUACGGGGCGCAGCAGGCGCGAAAACUUUACAAUGCGGGAAACCGUGAUAGGGGAACUCUGAGUGCCCGUUAAAUCGGGCUGUCCGCCAGUUUAAACAACUGGUGAAGAAAGGGCCGGGCAAGACCGGUGCCAGCCGCCGCGGUAAUACCGGCGGCUCGAGUGGUGG